rnacentral:rRNA from 1 species
AGUGAACGCUGGCGGUAGGCCUAACACAUGCAAGUCGAACGGCAGCACAGUAAGAGCUUGCUCUUACGGGUGGCGAGUGGCGGACGGGUGAGGAAUACAUCGGAAUCUACUUUUUCGUGGGGGAUAACGUAGGGAAACUUACGCUAAUACCGCAUACGACCUACGGGUGAAAGCAGGGGAUCUUCGGACCUUGCGCGAUUGAAUGAGCCGAUGUCGGAUUAGCUAGUUGGCGGGGUAAAGGCCCACCAAGGCGACGAUCCGUAGCUGGUCUGAGAGGAUGAUCAGCCACACUGGAACUGAGACACGGUCCAGACUCCUACGGAAGGCAGCAGUGGGGAAUAUUGGACAAUGGGCGCAAGCCUGAUCCAGCCAUACCGCGUGGGUGAAGAAGGCCUUCGGGUUGUAAAGCCCUUUUGUUGGGAAAGAAAAGCAGCAGGUUAAUACCCCGCUGUUCUGACGGUACCCAAAGAAUAAGCACCGGCUAACUUCGU